UACAACUGCUCGGUAUCUGACCGUAAGGCGCUACAGAGGGUAGUGCGUACGGCCCAGUACAUCACUGGAGCCAAGCUUCCUGACAUCUAGGACCCAUAUUACUAGGCAGUGUUAGAGACAUACCCAAACAAUUGUCAAAGACUCCAGUCGCCCAAGUCAUAGACUGUUCUUUCUGCUACCGCAGGGCAAGCAGUACCGGAGCGCCAAGUCUAGGACCAAAAGACUCCUUAACAGCUUCUACCCCCAAUUUUAUUACAUUUUUUUACUUAAGUUUUUCUUAACUCUAUUUCUUAAACUGCAUUGUUGGUUAAGGGCUUGUAAGUAAGCAUUUCACUGUAAGUUCUACACCUGUUGUAUUCGGCGCAUGUAACAAAUACAAUUUUAUUUGUAUCUGUCUCCCUCACAGAGGUGGGGUUUUGUACCUGUCUCCCUCACUGAGGUGCCGUUUCGUACCUGACUCCUUAACUGAGGUGGGGUUUCGUACCUGUCUCCUUAACUAAGGUGGGGUUUUGUACCUGUCUCCUUAACUAAGGUGGGGUAUUGUACCUGUCUCCCUCACUGAGGUGGAGUUUUGUACCUGUUUCCUUAACUGAGGUGGGGUUUUGUACCUGCAUCCUUAACUGAGGUGGGAUUUUGUACCUUGCUCCUUAACUAAGGUGGGGUUUUGUACCUGUCUCCUUAACUGAGAUGGGAUUUUGUACCUUUCUCCUUAACUGAGGUGGGGUUUUGUACCUUGCUCCUUAACUAAGGUGGGGUUUUGUACCUUUCUCCUUAACUGAGGUGGGGUUUUGUACCUUUCUCCUUAACUGAGGUGGGGUUUUGUACCUUGCUCCUUAACUGAGGUGGGGUUUUGUACCUUUCUCCUUAACUGAGGUGGGGUUUUGUACCUUUCUCCUUAACUGAGGUGGGGUUUUGUACCUGUCUCCUUAACUGAGGUGGGGUUUUGUACCUUUCUCCUUAACUGAGGUGGGGUUUUGUACCUGUCUCCUUAACUGAGGUGGGAUUUUGUACCUUGCUCCUUAACUAAGGUGGGGUAUUGUACCUGUCUCCCUCACUGAGGUGGAGUUUUGUACCUGUCUCCCUCACUGAGGUGGAGUUUUGUACCUGUCUCCUUAACUGAGGUGGGGUUUUGUACCUGUCUCCUUAACUGAGGUGGGAUUUUGUACCUGUCUCCUUAACUGAGGUGGGGUUUUGUACCUGUCUCCUUAACUGAGGUGGGGUUUUGUACCUGUCUCCUUAACUGAGGUGGGGUUUCAUACCUGUCUCCUUAACUGAGAAGGGAUUUUGUACCUUGCUCCUUAACUAAGGUGGGGUUUUGUACCUGUCUCCUUAACUGAGGUGGGGUUUCAUACCUGUCUCCUUAACUGAGGUGGGGUUUUGUACCUGUCUCCUUAACUGAGGUGGGAUUUUGUACCUUUCUCCUUAACUGAGGUGGGGUUUUGUACCUGUCUCCUUAACUGAGGUGGGGUUUUGUACCUUUCUCCUUAACUGAGGUGGGGUUUUGUACCUGUCUCCUUAACUGAGGUGGGAUUUUGUACCUUUCUCCUUAACUGAGUUGGGGUUUUGUACCUUUCUCCUUAACUGAGGUGGGAUUUUGUACCUUUCUCCUUAACUGAGGUGGGGUUUUGUACCUUUCUCCUUAACUGAGGUGGGGUUUUGUACCUGUCUCCUUAACUGAGGUGGGAUUUUG